rnacentral:rRNA from 1 species
GGCGGCGUGCCUAACACAUGCAAGUCGAACGAGGUAGCAAUACCUAGUGGCAGACGGGUGAGUAACGCGUGGUCAACCUACCGUUGAGUGGGGGAUAACUAAUCGAAAGGUUAGCUAAUACCGCAUACGUGAUCGGGGGGCAUCCCCUGAUUAUAAAAGGAGCAAUCCGCUCGAUGACGGGACCGCGUCCCAUUAGCUAGUUGGUGGGGUAACGGCCUACCAAGGCACCGAUGGGUAGCUGGUUUGAGAGAGCGACCAGCCACACUGGGACUGAGAAACGGCCCAGACUCCUACGGGAGGCAGCAGUGAGGAAUUUUCCGCAAUGGGCGAAANCCUGACGGAGCGACGCCGCGUGUGGGAAGAAGGCCUUCGGGUCGUAAACCACUGUCGAAGGGGACGAUAAUGACGGUACCCUUGGAGGAAGCCCCGGCUAACUACNUGCCAGCAGCCGCGGUAAGAC